rnacentral:lncRNA from 1 species
GAGAAAUACUACAUAGUUCUAACCAGAACAACAAUUUCAGUUGUCCUUCAAAUCUCAAGAAUACUUGAGAACGACCAUUUUCACCCUCAUCGGCGGCAACACAAUAACAAUCGGAAACAAUAGUACCACAGAAGAGAUUCAUUUCUGACAAAGUUACGGAAGCUACUCUAGUAGCCACAUCAUUUUUUUUAUCUAAUGUGUGCUUUCAAGAUGAACAUCUACUUUGUUAUUUUUCGAUUGCUCUGGCAUAUCUUUUCAUUUCUCCAGACUUUCUUCUGGAACUCUCUUCUUUGUUCAUCGUUAUUUUUGAUGCUGCCUAUCACUGUAUUCAGGUUAGUUUUGUUGUGCUAUUUUUGUUCUUCGUCUUGUUUGUUGCUUUGAAUUUUUAUCCUUUUACUGUUUUUGUUGCUUUUGUUUUUUGUAACUUUCGUCCUGCUUUUUUUCCUAAAACGUUAAAGUCUGAUUUUGAUUUAUGGUAUCUCAAACAAAUGAACCUUUCAGUUGUGUGUAUACAGUUAAUUCAAAAUGUCCACAACUGUCGGAAUUAGAAAUUUCAGAUUUUUCUCCCCAAGAAUUAUUGUUUGUCUUCCAUGUCCACUAUAUGUUCGAUAAUUUGUUCAAGAAGGAAUUAUGUGCUCGGGUUCAAUUAAUGAGUUUGGCUUAAUCGAAUUAAAGCUUUGCUUCAGAAUGAUGAUUAAGUACAAAUUUAAAGGUUGAGCGCUAACUCAAUUAGUGAACUUCCUAUUUUUCGCACGCGAAAUAAGUUCAAAUUCCAUUCAUAGAGUAUAGCAAAUUUUCUCUUAUCAGAAUACCAUAAAGCAGAAUGCUUUUUUAAUAGAGGCAAUUUUUGCUUAUUUCUGUAUCCUGUGAACUAUUUUAGCAUGUAUGAGGAUGCCACUGUUGUGUAGGUUUAAAUUCAAAUCGGAUCGACAUAAUGGACUGUGCAGAAUUUUGUGAACUUUUGACAUAAAGGUGUUGUAUAUCUAAUUGUUGAUUGCGCUGUUCAAGCCUCUGGAUUUGUGUUAUAUGCUUUGAUAAAAUGACCAAGAAGGUAAGCUUAGCACUUAGUGAAAAGAGUAUAGACGUUGAUGUUUCUUCGUUGGAGAUUUUGCUA